UAGUAAGGAAAAUGGGUGCAGAGGUAUGCUGCUAACCCCAUGGUGAAGGAGGGGUUUCACACCUCUUGUAGCUGAUCUCCACUGCUGCCGAAAUGUGCGAUUCCAGUCUCUGCCUGGCCACAUCUCACCUUCCCUCUGUGUUGGGGCUGUGCUGCUUCAUCAGCACAGGCAGUUGAAACAGCUUGCUGACCUAGCUGAGAAAAUGCCUUUUUUUAUGAUUGUUUUUUCCAGCUGGGUUAAAUGAGCUUUCUCUGAGUCACUGCACAGCCGCAGAAGUGCCGGUACUACCACAAGGGAGUCAAUGGUGAUGUACAGCAGGGCAAGAAGGAGAAUCAUUCUUUUUGGAAGACCACCUUCUCAAGGUGGCUAAAGAUAGUUGGGAAACUACACAGCUGGAUAUGAGCCCAGCACAGAUUUGUUUCUGGCCACUUGAAUUUUACAUUUCCCCACAGAGCCCCUCUGAUACACACAUCAGCUACAGAAUUCAUCUGCCAUUGUUCGUGUUGCUUCCUCCUGGCAUCACUGGGGCUGCUGUUGAUUCCUGCUCUCUCCUGACCAUGCUGACAGAAGCAGGCUAUGAUCCCCCAAGUUCCCAGCACGCUGCGAUCAACAGACUCACCCAUCAAAAGCCACUAGUGGCUGUGCCUGCACCCCGAUAUCCAAGCUUCUGAUCUCAUCCAUUGAAAUCUCCACUGAGACCUUUUCAAUUACUGCUUAAGUUGCUGUCAAAUGGUAGCUGGAUGUGUGUGCUUGUCCAGCUCAAAGAAAAAUCAUUGAUCUUCUGUCAAACUUCAUUCUACCCACAGGCUUCCUACAUUUUUCAAACAUAUUUAACAGUAUCUAAUCUCCCGGUUGUGAGGAUGUGCAUCCCAAGAUUUUUCCUUCCCUACUUGAUUUAUCACUGAUGGUGGUGGGUUAUGCCCCAUAUUUGGCAAUGGGGGCUCUCUGGUUUGGGAGAAAGGAGAAGGCAAGAUGUCUGCAGAAACUUAGAUCUGCCAAAAGUGAGGGACAAAAGAAGAGAAGCCAAAACCACUUCAUAACAAUGACAGAGUCAAGUAGCUUCUUGAGUUCAAACGGACUUUGGGCAAGACUUCACUGCAGGAGCAAAAUCACGGACUCAAUGACAUAUCAAUAUGAUCCUAGUUGAAGCCACUUUACUUAAGUUUCUGCAAACUUAUAUACAAUUUUAAUAUUCAUACACACGUCACAUCUUAAUUCUAUUGGUUACAUACACUGUUCACAUGCUGCUGUAUCUGUAUCUGUAUAGAUACUAAUUGAUUAAAAGCAUACAAGCAGUUAGUGUCAUCACUAAAAUUGUUGACGUUCUUGCGGUAAUCAGUUCCCAGAUCAGCUCCUGUUUUUCUGCCUGCUUAACUGCCAAAGAUUGUGUUUUCCUCUUCCAGGUGUCUUUCUCACACAACCAUGUGGCCUUGCUGAGCAGAUAAAACUUUUAAUCACAUCAAGCUGCUAAAGCAAGAGCGACUUUUGAUAAGGCCAGGUGUCCCUUUUCUUCCAAAUACAUUCCCACACUUCAUUUUAGUUUUCAAAUUUGUGAUAGAUCAGGUAUAUAAAAGUAUACAGAAGAGAAUGAUCACCUCCUUAAGGUAUGCAUGUCACCCUUACGUUGGCUGACAUGAUUCUGAGAAGUGAAAGAGCAUACGUUUGACUAAGCCAGGGGAAGCUCAUUAAUUAAUGGCCUGAAGUUGACGUCCAUGCUGUGUUCUUGGAAGUGCCGAAGUCAUGGAUAACAGCUGUAACCUGUUACUUGACAAGGAAUAAAGUCUGAUGUCUUGAGUAAUGUCAGGUGAACUCCAGUUUUCUAUCAUAAGCCAAAAGCUCAGUUUUACAAUGUCUGAUGUGCUGUCAUCCAAUGGUCAGAGUUGAUAUGGUAGCAGGGUGGGGAGAGCAUGGGCCCUGUCUAGACUCAUAUUAUUGCAUGCAUUCUGUUCAGAAUAAAUAAAUGUUUGAUUCAGUGUCUAAGACAUUCCUGGUUUCUCAUAGUUACUACCACAUAGUUAUGACCUGA